UACGUAGGGUGCGAGCGUUGUCCGGAAUUACUGGGCGUAAAGAGCUCGUAGGUGGUUUGUCGCGUUGUUCGUGAAAACUCACAGCUCAACUGUGGGCGUGCGGGCGAUACGGGCAGACUAGAGUACUGCAGGGGAGACUGGAAUUCCUGGUGUAGCGGUGGAAUGCGCAGAUAUCAGGAGGAACACCGGUGGCGAAGGCGGAUCUCUGGGCCUUACCUGACGCUCAGGUGCGAAAGCUAGGGGAGCGAACAGG
rnacentral:rRNA from 1 species